UGGCUUUUUACCAUGAAUAUAGUAGUUAUUAUUGAAGCACACUUUCCUCUAGAACAUUGCUACACAAACAGUGGUACAGGGGCCAGGUACAUUAGUAUCAUAUGUGAUCUUCUUAAAAAUGGAAAAUAUUGGUCCUGACCCCAGAUUUAAAAAGUUACAGCCUUCAUUUUAACAAGAUCUCCACUGCAGAUUUAGGUGCACAUGAACAUUUGAGAAGCACUGCCCUAGGUGUCUUACCCCUAGAGAACAGGUGCAUACACUGGUCAUUCUCUGAUUUCUCUCAGUGCUUAAUACACUUCUUGUGCCAUAAGGUUCUAAUGAUUUGUUAACUAAAUUUCUUAAAACAAAUUCUAAAAACUGAAAAUGCACUCAUACUUUAUUUUUAAUUUUUUCUUGAGAUAAAAUUUACAUUACAUAAAAUUCACAAUUUUAACCAUUUUAAAGUGUACAAUUCAGUGGGAUUUAGUAUAUUUACAAUACUGUAAAACUAACAUCACUAUUUAAUCUAUUUAAUUCCAGAAGAUUUCCUUCAUCCUAAAAAGAAAUUCUAUACCUUCCAGUAUCCCUUCCCCCCACCUCUUGGUAAGAACUACCUUGCUUUCUGUCUCUGUGGAUUUGCCUCUUCUGUACGUUUCAUAUGAAUGGAAUGAUACAUUGAUACAUUAUGUGGCCUUCCUUUUGUGGCUUCUUUCACUUAGCAAAAUGUUUUCAAGGUUCAUCUAUAAAACUUUAUUCCUUUUUAUGGCUAAAUAAUAUUCCAUUGCAUAAAUAUACCACAUUUUAUUUAUCCAUUCAUCAGUUGGCAGGCAUUUGGGUUGUUUUUACUUUUCGGCUAUUAUGAAUAUUGAUAUUCAUACGAAGAUUUGUGUACAAAUUUUUAUGAGAACAUGGUUUUUAAUUUUGGAGGAGUAUAUUCGCAGGAGUGGAACUACUAGGUCCUAUAGUAACUAUAUAUUUAACUUUGAGGAACUGCAAAACUAUUUUCAAUAGCAGCUGCACCAUUUUACAUUCCCACUAGCAAUGUACAGGAACUAAAAUUGUUUAUACCCUUGCCAACUCUUGUUAUUUUUCAUUUUAAAAAAAUUAUACCCAUUCUAGUGAGCAUGAAGUGCUACCUCAUUAUUGGUUUUAUUUUUAGUAGAGAUGGAGUAUCACUAUGUUACCCAGGCUGGUCUCCAACUCCUGGGCUCAAGUAACCCUCCUGCCUUGGCCUCCCAAAGCACUGGAAUUAUAGGGGUGAGCCACCACACCUGGCCCAUUGUAGUUUUGCUUUGCAUUUCCCUAAUGACUAAUGAUGCUGAGCAUAUCUCCAGGUUCUUACUGGCCAUACCUUCUUUGGAGAAAUGUUUAUUAAAAAGCAUUGCCCAUUCUUAACUGUUACUCGUCUAUCGUUGAGUUGUAGGAGGUCUUUAUAUAUUCGGAAUACUAGACGUUUAGCAGACAUAUGAUUUGCAAAUAUUCUCUCCCAUUGUGUGGGCUGUCUUUUCACUCAAUUAAUAGUUUCUUUUGAUACACAACUUUUAAAUUUUUGAUGAAAUAAAAAUUAUCCAUUUUUUUAUUUUGAUAUAUAUGGUUUUGGUGUCAUAUUUAGGUAACCACUGCUUAGUCCAAGUUCACAAAGAUAUACAUCUAUGUUUCCUUCUCAGAAUUUGGUAGUUUUAGUGCUACAUUUAGGUCCCUGAUUCUUUUUGGGUUAAUUUUUGUAUAUGGUGUAAUAUAGGGGUUCAGCUUCAUUAUUUUGCACCUGGAUAUCCAGUUGUCCUAGCACCAUUUGUUGAAAAAACUAUUCUUUCCCUAUUAAAUGGUCUUGACACCAUUGCAGAAAUAAGUUGACUGUAGAUGGACGGACUCAUUUCUGGAUUCUCACUUCUAUUGCAUUGAGAUUACAUAGAUAGAUAGGUAGAUAGACAGACAGAUGAUAGAUAGAUAGAUAGAUAGAUAGAUAGAUAGAUAGAUAGAUGAUAGAUAGAUAGAUAAAUAGACAGGUAGACAUAGAGAUAUCUUAUGCCAAUACCACACUGUUUGAAUACCAUUGUUUUGAAAUUGAAAAGUGUGAAUGCUCUGACUUUGUCCUUCUUUUUAAAGAGUUUUGGCCAUUUUUGGUCCCUUGCAAUUCCAAAUGAGUUUUAAUAUCAGCUUGUCAUAUAAGAUCAUGUCAUCUGCAAAUAGGGAUAGUUUUAUUUCUUCCUUUCCUGUGUGGAUGCAUUUUGUUUCUUUUUUCUUUUCUUUUUCCCCCUAAUUCCCUGGGUAAAAUUUCAAAUGCAAAGUUGAAAGGAAGUGACAACAAUGGACAUCCUUGCCUUUUUCCUGAUUUUAGAAGAAAAGCUUUCAGACUUUCAACAUUAAGUAUGAUGUUAGGUGUGGGUUUCUUAUAGAAACCCUUUAUUAAAUUGAGAAUGUCUUCCUUAUUCCCAGUUUGCUAAGUGUUUUUAUCAUGAAAGCAUAUUGGAUUUUGUCAAAUGCUUUCUCUUUGUCUAUUGAAGUGAUCACAUGUAUUGUUUCUUUCAUUUUAUUAAUAUGGUGUAUUACAUUGAUUAAUUUUUAAAUGUUGAACUACCCUUGCAUUCCUGGGAUAAAUUUCACUUGGUAAUGGCGUAUAAUCCUUCCAAUGUUCUGCUGUAGUCGGUUUAUUAGUACUUUGUUGAAGAUUUUUGCAUGUAUAUACAUUAGGGAUAUUAGGCUGUAGUGUUUUUCUUAAAAAAAAGCUACAUGUUUUCGGCAUUGUAUUGAAGUAGUAUUAGCCUCAUGAUAUGAGUUAAAAAUCAUUCCUUCCUCUUCGUUUUUUUUUUUUUUUUUUUUGGAAGAGUGAGAAGGAUUAGUCUUAACCCUCCUUUUAAUAUUUGGUAAAAUUCACCAGUGAAGCCAUUUUGCUCCUGAACUUUUCUUUUGGGAAGUUUUACGAUUAUUAAUCCAACUUCCUUAUUUGUUAUAUGUCUAUUCAGAUUUUCUAUUUCUUCUGAGUCAGUUUCAGUAGUUUGUGCCUUUCUAGGAAUUUGUCUGUAUUAUCUAAGUUAUGUAACUUUUUGCCAUACAGUUGUUCAUAGCAUCCUCUUAUAAUUAUUUUCACCUCUGUAAGGUCAGUAAAAAUGUCCUUAAUUUCAUUCCUGACUUCUUGCUACUUUCAAAAUUAUCUUUGUCUUUUUCUUUCAAUAGUUUGAUUAUGAUUUGUCUAGGGGUAAAUCUCUUUGAGUUUAUCCUGUUGGGUUUUGUUAAAUUUCUUGGGUGUGUAGAUUAAUGUGUUUCAACAAAUUUGGGGAGUUUUGAGCCAUUAUUUAUUUAAAUAUUCUUCUGCCUUUUUUCUCUUCCCUCUCCUUCUAGGACUCCUCUUAUGUGUAUGUUGGUAUAUAUGAUGAUGUCUCACAGAUCUCUCAUGCUGUAUUCAUUUUUUUCUUUAUUCUCUUUCUGCUCCUCAGAUUGGAUAAUCUUAAUUGAUUUAUCUUCAAAUUAACUGAUAUUUUCUUCUGCCUGCCCAAUCUUCAGUUGAUGAAUUUUUCAUUUUAGUUAUUGUACAUUUCAACUCUUAAAUUUCUAUUUGGUAUCUUUUAAUAAUUUCUAUCCCCUUAUUUCUAGUCUCUAUUUUAUGAGAUGUUUUCGUGCUUUUCUUUUUCUAAGCAGGAUUUCCUGUAGCUCUUUGAACAUAUUUAAAAUAGCUACUUUAAAGUCUUUGUCUUACAAGUCUAAUGUCUGGGCUUUCUUAGGAGCCAGUUAUAUUAAUUGCUAUUUUUUCUGUGUAUGGGCCAUAUUUUCCUGUUUCUUUUCGUGCCCCCAAAUUUUUGUUGCAAAUUUGACAAGUUGGAUAUUACAGCAUGGAAACUCUGGAAAUCAGAUUCUUCCCCUCUUCGGAGUUUGCUUUUUCUGCUUGUUGUAGUUGUUGUUUAUAUUUUAGUGAUUUUUUAAAACUAGUUUUAAAAAAUUAAGCUAAUUUACAAAACUAGUUUUAAAAAAUCACUAAAAUUAAUUCUGUAUUAUUUGUCAUGUGUGCCCCCUGAAGUCUCUGUUCCAUUAGCUUAGUCAUCAGCUAAAGAUUUAACAAAGAUUUCUAUAAAUAUCCUGAACAAAAAAAUUUCCCAAUCUUUGCAGAAGUGUCUGUUUUGAUGCAUGACUUCAAUAUUCAGCCUGGCAAUUUACAACUCAGCUAUAGCUUUCACUUUCUGAUUGCACAGAGCCUGAGGAUCAGCCAGAGGGGAAAAAAUAUUUGCCUGUAAAUGUUUUUGAGCAACGGUUUCCAAGUAGUGGCUUUAGUCCUGGGUGACUUCUGACUUAGGUAAGAUAAAACAAAUCUUUUGAGCCAACCUUCCAAGGAACCACCAGGCAGACCAAGGACGAUCUUUGCAAAAGAGGUCUAUUCUGCUUCUUCAGUGCUGGAACUGGCAAUGCAGGCUUCUAUUGUCAAGGCUACUGCUGAGCUGAGGAAAAAAGGAUAGAACUAGUGUAAGUUAAAACACCACAAAGCUCACUAUAAUUAUAAAGAUUCAGCAGUUUUUCUUGAAUAAAUGCUCCGUGGGUUGUUGCAAGCUUUUGUUAGUUUUCAGCAUUCCAAAAAUAUUGAUUCUGACAGGUUUUUUUCCCCAUUUUUUAGUUGAUUUUAAUGAGGGAUAGACUUUUAGAGUUGCUUACCCUGCCUCUUGUGCUGACGUCAUUCCUCUGCACACAUACUUUUAAUCAGAAUGAGUCAGGUACAUAAAGGAGCAAAUGCAUUAUAGGUCAACAGGUUGCUUUCCAAAUUGUCUCUUCAAAUUCUCUUUCUUUAUGAGAAAAUAUUUUGCUGAGACUUGCUUCUUAAGAAAAUGACCUGUGAUUUAUAUCGUGAUUCAAAUUUUAUGUUGCAAAUCUUCAUAUGAGCAAACGCAUCUCUGAAGAGAUCCAGUGAGAGAGUUGCUCAAUCAUCAAGAUGAAACGAGAGCGCCAGGCCAGGAUGAAAAUAAACUAGUGAUGAACAAGAAGAAAGAUAGAUGAUAUUUAUUGAGACUAUCCAGAGCUGAAGAUACAGCAGUCAUCAAAGCAUAGAAAUUCUUCACUCUCAAGGACCUUACAUUCUAACUAGCUUCUGGUAAUGAAGCCGAGCACCACUUCAUGAGCUGGGCACCAUAAGAUAGGUUCAUAUCCUGAUAUGAACUCUGGCUCUGCAUCUUCAUGUCAACAUAUCUGAUCCAAAUCUUUUGUGAGUUAUAUGAGUAGUUAUUAUAUCAAGAAUUCUUCCUGUAAAGAAAUAAUCCAUCCUCCACUCAGUCCACCUCUUAUAUCACACUUCAGGUCCUACAAAAUGUUCGGCAUUUUCCCAACUACAUCCACCUCCUUGGCACAUUAAAAUGAGUGUUGUACCAAAUGCCCAUCAAUGAUAGACUGGAUAAAGAAAAUGUGGCACAUAUACACCAUGGAAUAUUAUGCAGCCAUAAGAAAGAAUGAGUUCAUGUCCUUUGCAGGGACAUGGAUGAAGCUGGAAGCCAUCAUUCUCAGCAAACUAACACAGGAAUAGAAAACCAAACACCGCAUGUUCUCACUCAAAAGUGGGUGUUGAACAAUGAGAACACAGGGAGCGGAACAUCACACACCAGGGCCUGUAGGGGGUGGGGGGCAAGGAAAGGGAGAGCAUUAGGACAAACACCUAAUGCAUGCGGGGCUUAAGACCUAGAUGAUGGGUUGAUGGAUGCAGCAAACCACCAUGGCACAUGUAUACCUAAGUAACAAACCUGCACAUUCUGCCCAUGUAUCCCAGAACUUAAAAUAAAAAAAAAAUUAAAAAG
rnacentral:lncRNA from 1 species